GAUCCACGCAGCCUGCCCAACGCAGCUGUGCGCGCUCCUCCAUCCCGCCGGGCGCUGCUGCUGGGCCAGGCGGGGGCUCGGCCGCCCAGGUGAAGCUGGUGCGAGCUGCUGGCAUCACCUGUGCGCGAGCGGCGGCCGCAUGAAAUUCUAUUGGAAAAGUUGUAAGAGAUGGAAGUUCCAAGAAGCAAGAUGAACCUGUCAUCCACAGUCCUUGUCUUGGAAAGUGACUCGGGAAAGACAAAUGGCAUUAACAGGGUCGUAGCCUUACCAUUAACUUUGCCAUCUGGAUUUCUGGUGGACCCUGGGCUGAAGAGGCUUUCAGAUAACCUCAGACCUGACAAUGAGUUUUUUAACAAUUUACCUGAACAAAAGUUUGACUGUUACUCUUAGAAUGUCUGUUUUGGAGAAUAAAGUCUCAGCAUUAGAGGCUUGAUUUCGUAUUUACUAAAGUUACAAAAGAAAAUAAAGAAGUAAAGAACAGGAUGGACCUUUUGGAGUACAAGCAAUGCACAAGAAAUCUUAGUAGGGUUGGUGUUCCUGAGUUCUUUUGGCUUGAAAGAUCCUAUAACAUCCUUUUCCAAAAAAGGGGUACUGGCAGCACUGGGAUUGACUCCCCCGAGAUCUUUCUUCUAGAAUCAAUCCACUAUCUUCACCAUGUCUCAAAGAUCCAGAAGCUGUUAAAGCAGUUGACACUAAAAGAGGAUUGCAAACUUUUACAUAUUUGCCACGGUUAUGCUGCGGUUCCAUCAGUAUGUUGGAGGGCUACUAAUGGACUCAGCUUCAGAAUCUAUCCCCUGCACCUGUCUAGUAGUAGGGAGUUGUGAAAGCCCCUGAAGAGAAGGGAGAGGGACAGUGUAACCAUCCAGGAGAGAAAUUCAGAGCUCUCAUUGCAAUUAUGCCUUCCUACAACAAUGUCACCUGGGAUGCUGCUGGAAAUAGAAAAUGCUCUAACAACCAGGCGCUCUUCAAUUAAAACUCUUACUAUUUCUAAUUAGCUCCCUGCCAUGUUUUCAUUGUAACACUGAGAAGUUUUAUAAGUGGAAUGGAUGGGGAGUUGUCAUCAUUACAAGAAUGGCAUUGCAUUUAGAAAUUCCAUUAUUACAGUGGCAAAAAUGAAAAAUGAAUAGAAAAAAGAACUAAACUGGUAUAUUUUUAGCUGGUGAAACUUUCUGGUUCUCUUAUAUUACCUCAGCACCAUGGUAUGAUAUUUGGGUUGCAAAUGAUGCAGGAGAACUUUAGACCCUUGGUCCCUCCACCCACCCGGCAAACAACCAGCCAAACCAACCAAGACCAAAAACUCUUUUCAGUAGGCCAGAUCCUUAUAUAAAUGCAACUGAAUAACAGUAUUACAACAUGUGCAUCCUGGGGAUGAGUGCGUGGCUGUGCAGACAGUGUAGACGGGUGAGCUUCCUCAACCAUGGGAUGCUCUUCUGGGAAGGAGGACAGCUCAGAAGAGAUGGUAUCCACCUCAACACAAAAGAGAAGAGCAUCUUUACAUACCGACUCACCAACCUAGUGAGGAGUGUUUCAAACCAGGAUCAAAAGGGGCAAGUGACAAAAGUCCACAGUGCUGUUCAUGUGAUCCAUGGAAUAGUGUCAAUAACUGAUGAAACAGGAGCAUCGAAAUGACCAUCUUCGUGUGUUAUCACAAACUGUUGCAGUGUAUUGCAUUACAAUAAUUCUCCAAGAUUGAGCCUGCAAGAACCCAUGUCUUCUCCCAAUGAAGUGUUCUGACUCAGUUUCCAGCUGCACCUUAUUUGCCAGAUCCAGCUCUCUACAGGUAUCCAAAACAUUCCCUCCAUUUUUGGCUGCAGCUUCCUGUGUCUUUGGAUGAAACUCUGAUCACCCUGUAGCAACCUGCAGGGAACUUAGAGGCAAGAGCACAGGAUGCAGAAGGGUGAUGGAUCAAGCAUAUAAGGUACAGAAGUUCAACAACCCAGAGACUCUCUGCUCCCACCAUGCAACUGGAAAGAAAAACACUGCUGAGCUACUGGGAGGAAAGAAGGCCUAGAAUCCAGGCUGAUGCCCCUUGUCCAUGGACCUGGAGGCCACCUUCACCACCUUAGAGCAGGAGGAAUACUAAUGAGUUUCUCAGAGCAGGAGGGACACUGAUCAGCACCAUGAAAAUACUAGAAGGGAGUGGAGAAGUAUGUGGAAAUUAUUGCUUCACAUUUGUGAAAGAUGAUUUAUUAUAUGUUUUGUGAAAUCAUAAAUAAAAAUGUUAACUUCUAACUUACUAGUUUUAUUAAAUCUAAAGGGUCAUAUCUCA